rnacentral:ncRNA from 1 species
AAUAAGAAGAACAUGAUGUUGGUUCAGAUUAAACGCUAUAUAAGGACAUUACACAUGCGAAUCAAACGUAUAAUAUAAUAAAAUAAUAUUAUAUAUGUGGUGUAAACGUGAAUAAUAAAUAGGAAUAAUAACUAUAAAUAAAGUAAAUAUAAAAACAAUAUAAAUAUAUAUUUAUAUAUAUUAAUAUAUAUAAAUAUAUAAUAAAAAUAUAUAAUAAUAUAUAUUGUUUAUAGUAUAUCCUAUAUAAGUUUAGGUAGUAGGUUAUAUAUAUAUAUAUAAUUUAAUAAUAUAUAUAUAUAUUAAGAUAAACCUAGCCAACGAUCUAUAAUCGAUAAUGAAAGUUAGAACGAUCACGUUGACUCUGAGACAUAGUCAAUAUCUAUAUGAUACAGCAGUGAGGAAUAUUGGGCAAUGAUCGAAAGAUUGACCCAGUUACUUAUAAGGAUGAAAAUAAUAAAUUUAUAAAAUUGAUUAAAAAUAAAAUCCAUAAAUAGUGAAAAUAAUGAUAUUAACUAUCAUAUAAAAUAAAUAUUUAAAAUAUUUAUAAUAAUAUGAAUAUAAAUAAUAAUAUAUAUAUUUAUAUAUAUAUUAUAUUUUAUAUUUUAAUAGUCCCUGCCUAAAUUUGUGCCAGAAGUAUCGGUUAAACAAAGGGGGCGAGCGUUAAUCAUAAUGGUUUAAAGGGUCCGUAGAAUGAAAAUAUAUAUAAAAAUUUUAAGAGUUAAUAAGAUUAAUUAAAGAAUUAUAAUAGUAAGGAUGAAAUGAUAAUAAUAAUUAUAAGACUGAUAUAUGUGAAAAUAUUAAUUAAUAAUUAACUGACAUUAAGGGACGAAAGCUAAAGUAUCAAUAUGGAUUCGAUACCCAUGUAGUUUUAGCUGUAAACUAUGAACACCAUAUAAUAUAUAUAUAAUAAAUAUAUUAUAUAAAUGAAAAUGAAAGUGUUCCACCUGAAGAGUAUAUUUGCAAGAAUGAAACUCAAGACAAUAGACGGUUACAGACUUAAGCAGUGGAGUAUGUUAUUUAAUUAGAUAAUCCGCAAAAAUCUUACCAUAAUUUGAAUAAAAUAUAUAUAUAUAAUAUUAUAAUAAUAAUAUAAUAUAUAUAUAUUUAACAGGCGUUACAUCGUUGUCUUUAGUUCGUGUCGCAAGAUUUAAGAUUAAUUUCAUUAACGAACAAAAAUCCAUAUAUAUUAAUUAUAUAAUAUAUAAUAUUUAAUCUAUUAUUAGAUAAAUGAAAGGAAUUAAGACAAAUCAUGAUGAUCCUAAUAUUAUGGGCUAUAGACGUACUAUAAUAAUAUGAUAACAAAAUUAAAAUAAUAAAGAAUAGAAUUAAUAAUAUAAAACAUAUUAAACUUUAAUAUAUAUAUAUAUUAUAUAUAAAUAUGAAUUAUAAUCUGAAAUUCGAUUAUAUGAAAAAAGAAUUGCUAGUAAUACGUUAUAUAUAAUAUAACGGUGAAUAUUAUUACUGUUUCGCACUAAUUACUCAUCACGCGUUAAAACAAAAUAUUAUCCAAAUAUUAAAUAUAUAUUUAUUAUAUAUAUAAUUAUUAUUAUAUAUAUUUAUAUAUAUAUUUUUAUAAGAAAUAUUAUGAAUUAAUGCGAAGUUGAAAUAUAGUUACUGUAGGGGAACCUGUAGUGGGCUUAUAAAUAUC